CUACAGGCCACCUAUGACCUCAUGGUGCAUGUCCCAGCUCCUGCCCCAACUCUCAGCCAUCCUCCCUAAGGAAGUCCUCCUGCCCAGGGACCCUCACACCAUCCAAUGAAGAGGAAGAGCCACUUGCGCAGGUGCUCCGUGGAGUACGUCAUGACAAUGGCCGUGUGCAGGUAGCCAUCUUGUCCAUUGGUGAGAGGAAAAGAAGACAUGAACAGAGGCUGUGCUCAGGACCGCUGUUGUGUGACCUAUCAGCAGAGCUGGACCUCUCUCCAUUGACUGCUCUGAGCGAGGAGACACUCCCAAGAAUAUUGCAUGAAUAUAAGAAGGAAAGGCACUGUCCCAGA